CCAAUAGCGUAUAUUAAAGUUGUUGCAGUUAAAAAGCUCGUAGUUGAAUUUCGAGAUCGGUUUAUUGGUCGUGCUAUUGUACGUACUGGUAUAACUGGUUUCUCCUUUCUGACGAACCUUAAUGCCAUUAAUUUGGUGUUUUGGGAAAUCAGGACUGUUACUUUGAAAAAAUUAGAGUGUUUAAAGCAGGCUCACGCUUGAAUACAUUAGCAUGGAAUAACGGAAUAGGACGUUUGAUUCUAUUUUGUUGGUUUCUAGGAUCGACGUGAUGAUUAAUAGGGAUAGUUGGGGGCAUUAGUAUUCAAUUGUCAGAGGUGAAAUUCUUGGAUUUAUUGAAGACUAACUACUGCGAAAGCAUUUGCCAAGGAUGUUUUCAUUAAUCAAGAACGAAAGUUAGGGGAUCGAAGACGAUCAGAUACCGUCGUAGUCUUAACCAUAAACUAUGCCGACUAGGGAUCGGAUGAUGUUAAUUUUUUAAUGACUCAUUCGGCGCCUUACG
rnacentral:rRNA from 1 species